CAGCCAUAGAUAUAGGACUGUAAACUAUUGACAGAAUCAAGAUGUUUUUUAUGCUAAAGAAGAAGUUGUUUUCUUCUUGAAUGAUAAAUAACAUAGUGUGUGAUGAACAUUUUAAGCAAUUCUCAUUUUAGCCAAUAUUUCUCCAAAUUAUCAGUAUAGGCUAACGUGCCAAUUGAAUCAUAUCUGAACUUGGUCGGAGAGAUUGAAGCUUCUGUUAUAUCAUUUCACAACUUUGUGGCUGCAAUAAUUCCUGAAGAUAUGGUUGCAAUGGUCACAAUUUAAAGAUCCCAACAAAUUCAAUCAACAGUAAAGAGAACUCUGUAACCUCAAUGUCACAUACGAUCCUCCCAUCACCUAACCAUUCAAGAGUUUAUCAUUGAGAGAGGAUUACGACAGAAGAGUAAAAGUGCUGAUAUCAUUUUCUGAAGUCACAUAUGAUCUAGGUGCAUGAUUUUUUGCAAAGACGAGGGGAAUCAAUAUCCUUGAUGAAAGUUACGUGAGGCAACAAGUCAGCAAAAGUCUAUAGAGUUUGGGGCCCAAUUUGCUAAUCAUAAUAAUAAACACGAACCUUGACCCAAGAUCUGGGGCCCAUAUGGAAGACUUAAUUUAUAUCUAUUCUUGGAAGGGGGAAAAAAAGGAGGUGGAUAAACACCAUGUACUUUUAGUGCUGUAGAUUUGCAAGAAAAAACCCCCUAAAUCUCCUAAUGUUGAUAUGAAUAACUUAUUUUUAUACCAAAAAAAGAGAUGAAUUUAACACUUUUAUUAUUGGAAAUUAAGCUCAUAAGGAUCAAAAUACUGUAGG